GCAAACUUGGUCAUUUAGAGGAAGUAAAAGUCGUAACAAGGUUUCCGUAGGUGAACCUGCGGAAGGAUCAUUACCGAGUGCGGGCCCUCUGGGUCCAACCUCCCACCCGUGUCUACUGUACCUUGUUGCUUCGGCGGGCCCGCCAUCCCGGCCGCCUGGGGGACCUCGUGCCCCCCGGGCCCGCGCCCGCCGAAGACCCCCUGUGAACACUGUCUGAAGAUUGCAGUCUGAGCGAUUAGCUAAAUUAGUUAAAACUUUCAACAACGGAUCUCUUGGUUCCGGCAUCGAUGAAGAACGCAGC
rnacentral:misc_RNA from 1 species